GAGGGCAUAGCUCAAGUGGUAGAGCGCAUGCUUAGGGUGCACAAGGUCCUGGGUUCAAUCCCCAGCACCUCCU
rnacentral:tRNA from 1 species